CAUUCCAGGACCCCGAACCCGUACGCCACACUUCCGAUUGUCCCUGCGCGCGGUGCUCGUGCAUAUCCGGUGUCCCCGACGAAAUGCGACACUUCCGGUCCCCAGCGAGUUGAGUGCGCAGGGUGGGUUCCUGUGGCGGGAGUCAGGCUCCGUUCUGGUCGCGAAAUCCGCGGUCACCACAGAGGAUCGCAGCUGUACCCUCAAGUCUUCUUCAUUUCCCAUUCCUGAAGUCCAGAAAGAUAAGACAAAUCAGGUUGCUGAACAUUCUAGUGUGACUUACAAGAUAAAAACAUUCCACUGCACCUGAUUACAUAAAGAUCUCCACUGGCCAGAGAGCCACGGGUCCUAGUCUCACCCUCCUUCGGUAGCCAUGGAUGAGCCAAAUGGGAAGGUCAAGUCACUGCUCAAGGUCACACAGUUGGCCUUCAGAAAGGUUCACAAGUCUUGGGAAAAGCCAUCUGGGAUGUGAAUUUCAGGGCACAUUGGUGGGAAGAAGCAGCUGGGAAGAGUGAAACCACUUCUAGCUCCUCCUCCACCCUCCGUGAGUUUGCCUUUGUUUUCUUAAGCUCUUCAUCUGUAAAUGAGGUUGGAAAGCCCCAAGGAGAGAAAGCCUGCAGGCAGAAGGAACAGCCUGGCUUGGAGACGUGGGGUGUGGUCUGACCAGGCGGUGGCAACUCAAAACUUAUCCGACAAGCUAUUUCAUCUGUCUGAAUCUCCCUGUCCUUUUCUGAAAGCAGGUAUUGAGUUUUAUUCAUUCAACAAACAUUUGUUGCACUCCUAUUUUGCGGACUUUGUAGAAGGGCUAAGGUUAUAAUGAUAAAACAGGCAUAGUCCAAUUUUUAAUAAAACUAUACAACCCAUUGGGGAGAUAGACAUUAGACCAGGAAGGACAGAAAAAUACACACACACACACACGUAUACACAAAUUGUGGCCAAGUGCUAUGAGAAAGAAUAACACAUUGGACUCUUCGCAAUUUAGACUAGUGGUUCCCAAAUAGGGGCGAUUUUGCCUUUCCAGGGGACGUUUGGCAAUUUCUGGAGACAUUUCUGGUUGGCGGGUGGGUGUGGAACUACUGGCAUCUAGCAGGCAGAAGCUCGCAACGCUGAUAAACAUCCUACAUGUACCUGGCAGUCCCCUAUAAAAAGAAUUAUUGGCCCCAAAUAUCAGUAGUGCUGAGGUUGAGACAUUCAGACGGAGACGGAGGUCAGCCAAGUUCUCCCUGAGGAGCUCUCAUUUGGGGCGAGAGGAUCUACCUUGCAGGGGUGCUUGGAGCCCUGGAGAUCAUGGCUGUGCAAGGCCCAGAGGACCACCUGGUACACUGAGAACCCUAAGACAGGGCACAAGCACCGUGGCUAAGGCCGGGAUCUGGAGUCAGUCUUCCUGCAUUGCAAAUCCUGCCUCCCACUUACUUAACUGAGUGACCUGGCAUAAGUCCCUCAGCACCUCUGACCUUCGUUUCCUUGUCCAUCCAGUGGUGCCAACAUACCUAGUGUCCUACCUCCCGGGACUGCCAUGAAGAUCGGGUGAGAUAACAGGAGUUAAAGGCUGUACUGACCUACAUACAGUACAGUUAUUGACCUACAAUACAGUUAUUGUUCAACACAAACUUGUUAUUCAGCAUACCGUAGUUACACUUACCAGUAACCCAAAGGCUACUUCUAGGAUCACAUUCAGGAUAAAAAGUCAAAUGGCAGGGUUUUGGGGGAGACAACACAGGCCAGAGCUUUCUCUGACGGUCCCCUCCCUAGCAGUGCCACCUGUUCUUUGGCAGGCUGUCUUCUGGCAUGUUCCCGCUCCUCUUUGGGCAUCUACUUGCUCAUCUGUAAAUGAGCAUCAUUCCUACCCGCAAAGAGUGACCAUGAAGAUCUAUAGCACAUGAGGGGAUUAAGAAGCAGCUACCCCGGCCCACAUGGGCGUGGACUCACCCCACUCUUGUUCUUGCUGCUCACGGAGAGCCCCAGCGUCGGGCCCCCUGCCAGGGACUGCUGCAGUCGCUCCUUUACAGCCACAAGCCGCAGCUCCAGGUCAAUCCGGCGCUCCUCCUUUGCCCGACACUGAGCUUCCAGGGCAGCCACGGCCUCCUCCAGAGCCUUUAACUUUGUACCUGGAUUAUUCCGGAUGGCUUCCUUCAUCUCCCUCUUCUCCUGCCUCAGUGCCAUCAGCUCUGUCCGGAUUGUCUCCUUCUCUUUUUCCAGCUUCUCUUUUUCUACCAGGUACCUCCGGGCGUCUUCCUCAGCUCGGUUCUUGCCGUAUUUGUAUUGAUUGGCACCUGCAGAGAUAAAAGGCAGGCAAAGGCCCCCCCACUUCUGAUCUCUCGUAAAGCUCUUGUAGGGACUGCAGUGGCCCCUGGUGACACAUGCAAAGAUCAAUUCCUGUGACAAGUACCCUGCAGUUGGAGCCUGAUCACAAACAAAGCAUGGAGGGCACAGAAGGGGACCCAUAGUUCCCCCAACCUCCCAGGUACACAGUGGCAUCCCAGGGGAAUUUUCUCCCAGAUGUUUGGAUUUUAUAGCCUGGUAAGCUAAAAAUAAAUGCAUAAAGCAGCAAAGUGUUGUCAGUGUUACGUUGUAUCAGAUAAGGACUUUAAAACCCCCAACCACCAUCUGUCAUUUCCAGUAUUUUAUAUCUCUUUUAUAUAUCAUCAGUAUAACAUUUCAUUUGAGGAAAGAAUACGUUUUGUGAUAUUUGUUGUUGUUGUUGGAAUGUUUUAUGAUUUCUUUAAUCUUACAUGGUUAUUUCAGUUUACUUUUCCA